AGUGAACGCUGGCGGUAGGCCUAACACAUGCAAGUCGAACGGCAGCACAGUAGAGCUUUCCUUUUGCGUGUGGCGUGUGGCGGGCGGGUGGGGUAUACCGCGAUCUCUACUGUUUCGUGGGGUAUCGCGUGGAAAAUUAUGCUCUUAUACCAUAUGCCCCCCGCGUGUGAGAGCAGGAUCUCAUCACCUCUUGCGCUUUUAUGUGCGGAUGUCGGAUUAGCUAGUUGGCGGGGUAAUGGCGCACCAAGGCGACGAUCCGUAGCUGGUCUGAGAGGAUGAUCAGCCACACUGGAACUGAGACACGGUCCAGACUCCUACGGGAGGCAGCAGUGGGGAAUAUUGGACAAUGGGCGCAAGCCUGAUCCAGCCAUACCGCGUGGGUGAAGAAGGCCUUCGGGUUGUAAAGCCCUUUUGUUGGGAAAGAAAAGUUGCAGGUUAAUACCCUGGGGGGAUGACGGUACCCAAAGAAUAAGCACCGGCUAACUUCGUG
rnacentral:rRNA from 1 species